GACGAACGCUGGCGGCGUGCCUAAUACAUGCAAGUCGAGCGCAGGAAACUGACGGAACUCUUCGGAGGGAAGGCAGUGGAAUGAGCGGCGGACGGGUGAGUAACACGUAAGGAACCUGCCUCAAGGAUUGGGAUAACUCCGAGAAAUCGGAGCUAAUACCGGAUAGUUCAACGGACCGCAUGGUCCGUUGAUGAAAGGCGCUCCGGCGUCACCUUGAGAUGGCCUUGCGGUGCAUUAGCUAGUUGGUGGGGUAACGGCCCACCAAGGCGACGAUGCAUAGCCGACCUGAGAGGGUGAUCGGCCACACUGGGACUGAGACACGGCCCAGACUCCGACGGGAGGCAGCAGUAGGGAAUCUUCCACAAUGGACGAAAGUCUGAUGGAGCAACGCCGCGUGAGUGAUGAAGGUUUUCGGAUCGUAAAACUCUGUUGUAAGGGAAGAACACGUACGAGAGGGAAUGCUCGUACCUUGACGGUACCUUACGAGAAAGCCACGGCUAACUACGUGCCAGCCGCCGCGGUAA
rnacentral:rRNA from 1 species